AACGCAGAAGUUCACCGAUCAGUCUUGAGGAGUUCUUCAAAGCGACGUCACUCGAAUCGCACAUCGUGUCAUCGCUGAGUCUUGACCGUUAAUCAACAAUGACAAUAUUGAACGCGAAUGUUGCUUCAAACAAUUUAGAGCAUCCUUCGGUAUUCGCUGAUUUGUCAGAAUUUUGUCGCAAGAAUAAUCUAGUGCGAUAUUGGUGAUUGCUAUGGAAUUCUAUUUAUGAAUUUGUACAGAGAAACAAAGUGAAUUUAUCGCAGAAAAGUUAGAUUUAAAAAAAAAAUUGAAAACUAGAGAAGACACAAUGUAGAUAUCUUUUAAUAAAGAGAAGGUCCGUAAUACUAAGCAGCAAAAUGGAACUCGUGGCUACGACAGUGUCCGAGGGGCCGUUUGGUCACGACCUUUAAGGAGAUAUGUCUACGUCAACAGCUACACGAUAAUGACAAUCGACUUCACGCCACUUUCCGUGAUGUGCUGCAACGGUUCCGUGGAACGGCGUUUCAAAUUGUUUUGUUCGCAAUUCGGGGAUGAUCCGGAAGGCGAAAGUUGCGGCGAACCACCAUUCAAAUGUAUCUGAUCACCGCCACUCGGCGAAUUUUUCGGCGAAUUGUGUUUAUCUUGCCAAAGAGAAUUUUGCGGACUAUGAUAUUCUAUUGCGGUCUGUAACAUUGACAUUUUUCAAUUACUAUUUUUGAAAUAUAAUUAUUCGAAAUAAAUUUGAAGUCGUCGAAAGAAAUUUCAACCAAAA
rnacentral:lncRNA from 13 species